UUAUAACCAUUCUCUUUCCUUUCCCCUUUAGGUUCCCGGAUUUCGCCUCCCCCCCUCUACACACGGCUGUGGGCUUUACCAGCCAGUAUAAGGGAAGCCCCGGAAGGCGCCCGCGUUCCCCUAAGGAACAGGACCGAAGAGAUCACAGGGACACGGGGGGGUGCUGGAGCCUAUCCCAGCAGUCUUCAGGCGGAAGGCAGGAUGCACCCUGGACAGGUCGCCAGUCCACCGCAGGGCAGACAGACAGUCACACCCAGGGGCAAUUUAGCAUGCCCAAUCGGCCUGACUGCAUGUCUUUGGACUGUGGGAGGAAACCGGAGAACCCAGAGGAAACCCACACAGACACGGGGAGAACAUGCAAACUCCACACAGAGAGGACCCUGGCCGCCCGGCCGGGGAAUCAAACCCAGGCCCUCCUCACUGUGAGGCGACAGUGCUACCCACCACGCCACCGUGCCGCUGCAGCAUAAACAUUCACCACGAGGUUCUUCUUGACAUCGGCACAUCCUUUCAGACCCACAGCGCUGAGUCAUCUUCUCACCGUGGAAGGAUAGACAGAAACACCUAUGGAUGUUUUCAGAUCUGAAGCAAGACUGGAGACCUAACCCUAACCCAUGAUCUAGCCCCCUUACCAGUCUUAUCAUGAUAUUUAGAAGUGAAUUUAGCUUUAGUGAGUUUGGCUUCAGUCACAAAAUGUUAUUACCCCAAGAAUUACAGUCCAGUUGGAUGUCUUUAGAAAAAUGGACCUCUGUGAUUGCUCUCAGUGCUUCUUCCUCACAUCCUCAGAGAGUUCUUGAGUUGUGAAUGUGACUUCGCAACCGUUUGAUUACGAUUCUUUUGUUUUGAUUAUUGUGAGAUGAUUCAGAUUUAAGCCAAAUGAAAUCAACACAGCAAGCUAAUUUUUUCAUCUAAAAGUAAUUUGAGAAAAGAAUAAAUUGUGGCCAAAUGCAAGUGCAGUUUUAUUGAAUACCAAAACAUUCUAAUUUCCAAGAUCAAUGCAAUUAAAUUACUGCAUUCAGAAC
ensembl:lncRNA